AUGGGGAAGCUGACAAAGAAACGUUCCAGUACCGUUUCAGUGGAAGUUUGUGAGAAUAAUGUAGGAAAACUCAUUCAAAAAUCUUAUUUUUAUUCUCUUUAUCCUUCAAACAAAAUUGGGCAUAGUCACAAUAAUUCUAAGAAUAGGCAAUCUGAGGUGGUGUUGAGGUCUUUAUCUUCGUCAAAUUCAUUUUCACACAAUGUUUCGGAUGGCUCGGUGUUGGGUUGCGAUAUUAAUGGUGCUAGGAAAGAUUAUGUGGUUUAUGUUGCUUUUAAGCUAUGGGAGAAGGCAAUGGUGUUUGGGGUGGAUGGGGGGAGAAGAUGUUGA